ACGAAGAGAGGGCACAGCCCUCCCCGAAGAGAGGGCCGACCAUUGAUCACAGCGGACACACGGCCGUGCCCAGUUUCGUACCACCACCGUCGUCAACACUGGCAUAACUACAGUAAAAGCGGCUGCUGCGGCCCAACCGGACUUCCCCGAAUGUUGCCCUCCCGGACCGAGAGGUGGGUGCGAUUGGGGGAAGGCUGAGCUGUGGUGGCUUAAGACCAGCCGCGUGGCAUCACCGAUCCACUCAUUGGAGCUCAGUCGUCCGGAGCGGCAGACAAGUGUGGAAACCCCCGCCGCGUGAGAAGUGCCCUCAAGCUUUAAAAUGAAAUCAAAGCUGCUUGCGUUCGUUCUUGUUCUGGUCGCCUGUGCCGCAUUGGUGGAUAUGGUCGUAGCGUACGACCCAACAUUUUUUGACAUUGGGUUCGGCUGCCCAAAGUCGGCACUGUCAUGUCUCCAGGAAUGCCGAGAUCAGCGCGGGCACCGAGGAGGCUAUUGCAACGGACCUUACAACAUCGUAUGCACUUGCUACUGAGAUUAAAAACCGAUCGACUACGAUACAGCGCCAGAGAGGCUUUGAAGCAGCAUCACCUUCUUCGACCACAUUUGCUUUCAUCGUGUGCUUUACAAAAAUAACGGCUCUCUUGGCUUUCCCAUCGGCCUUCGUUCAGCCCUUGUUACUAAGAGUAAAUCACCUCAAACCAUGUUUCUCAAAUGAAGCGGCUCUAUCAGUGGAGCAGUUGCAGUGUGCGUUUUAUUUGUAUUUCUGUAAGCAGCGAACAAAUGAAGCAGCUGAGGUUUUGUUACUUUUACCAAACCAAUUAAGAACGUCGUAUACACAUUUCACAGCGUGGCUCAUUCUUUUAUAUUGUGAAUAUAUUGCUAGUCAAAACUUCAAACCUAUUGUUUGACAAUAAAGGGAU